ACUGUCACGUCCACCAUAACCAUAUCCUCCAGCACCACGAUCUGGGUAUCCACCGCUGCCACUUUCGCCGAACUGCGGUCUGGAAUAGGACGACUGCUGUCCACCGAAUCCACUCGGCUGUCUGCCGAAAUCGCCACCGCUUCCGGGUGCACCAUAAGCCUGGCCAAGUCUAAUAGGUCCUGCUGCCGCUGACGCCCUGUAGCCGCCGCCAAAACCGGCGUCACCUGAGUAUCCUCCGCCACCACCACCGCCGCCGCCGCCGCCGAAUCCGCCACCACCUGGUCGACUAUAUUGAUAUCCUCCGGCACCUGCACCACCUCCUGGCAGGAGACCCGCCAGGACGUCCGUGCUGAUGCACGACAGCAUCAGGACGACCAGCUUGGCCAACUGUAAAAGGGAGAGAAUUUCCGAUGAAUGACAAAUGACAGCAUGAUAAGAUUCAGUCAUCGAGAGGUUCCCUUCCGUGAUGAAACUGAAGAUAAACAUCGGCGUGAGAGGUGAUGCAGCCUUGGUAUCAAUAAUGAUUUGAGCGAGGGAGUGAAAAACAUUCAACCGAUCGUUCAACGAAUCGAUCUAAAGAUCGGCCAAAAAAAGCACGUGAAAAAUCCACUGUCGUUCUACCCUGUCACACGAUGUAUCGCAUUACCUGUCGCACUAUCAAAUCCAUACUCGGGGAACAAUGAUCGCUCGCGGGGGUUGGACGAAGACGACGGUGGUGGUUGGUCUCGACGACGACGCGCAGUCGAGAGUAGCAGAGAGGAAGAGGAGCACCGAGGACUGAAUGCUGAAAUGUGGUGACGUUUCGGCGGGCAUACCGGUGCUUAUAUAGAGAGAGCUCUUUCUCUCUCUCUCUCUCUCCCUGUUUCCACGCGAAGAAGAGGAUCCGUUUCCUGUCGCCGCCACCACCACCGCCUCCACGUCGCCUGGGGGAGACCUGCGGACCUGGGGAUUCGCUCGAGCGACGUAGGCAGUAUAAGAGACGACGACCGCGUGUACUCCAGUUCACAUAGGGAGCUUCGUUUCUCAUUGUUCCCACAAGCGUAUUUCGGGGAGAACGCCGAAGAAGAAGCGCGCGCUUCUCGAGGUGAGCUAGACGAGCCGAGCCGAGCCUAGCGCGGAGAAAGCUGAUUACUUCAUCGCGUGGGACAGCCCGUGGCGGCUGCUCGCCUUCUUAGAGCGAACUAAUUAGGCGUUUGAGACUUAAUUAAGUCGCAGGACCAGCGGACGCGAUCGACGACGGUCCACGGGAAUGAAGAUGAGCGAUCGCGCGCUCGUUCAUCGGGCUACCGAAUAAGAGAAUCGCGAAAGAAAGGGGAUGAAGAAGGGUGGUUCGCGUUAACCCGUUCAACGGUACACUAAUUAUUAUUAUUCAAAUAAUUAUGCGAACAAGAUUCACAGCUCGAAUUAAAUCCCAAGUAGCUUGUACGUCAUUCAACGUCAA